GAUGAACGCUGGCGGCGUGCCUAAUACAUGCAAGUCGAGCGAACGGACGAGAAGCUUGCUUCUCUGAUGUUAGCGGCGGACGGGUGAGUAACACGUGGAUAACCUACCUAUAAGACUGGGAUAACUUCGGGAAACCGUAGCUAAUACCGGAUAAUAUUUUGAACCGCAUGGUUCAAAAGUGAAAGAUGGUCUUGCUGUCACUUAUAGAUGGAUCCGCGCUGCAUUAGCUAGUUGGUAAGGUAACGGCUUACCAAGGCAACGAUGCAUAGCCGACCUGAGAGGGUGAUCGGCCACACUGGAACGGAGACACGGUCCAGACUCCUACGGGAGGCAGCAGUAGGGAAUCUUCCGCAAUGGGCGAAAGCCUGACGGAGCAACGCCGCGUGAGUGAUGAAGGUCUUCGGAUCGUAAAACUCUGUUAUUAGGGAAGAACAUAUGUGUAAGUAACUGUGCACAUCUUGACGGUACCUAAUCAGAAAGCCACGGCUAACUACGUG
rnacentral:rRNA from 1 species